AAACUAACAAGGAUUCCCCUAGUAGCGGCGAGCGAAGCGGGAAGAGCUCAAAUUUAUAAUCUGGCACCUUCGGUGUCCGAGUUGUAAUCUCUAGAAGUGUUUUCCGCGUUGGACCGCACACAAGUCUGUUGGAAUACAGCGGCAUAGUGGUGAAACCCCCGUAUAUGGUGCGGACGCCCAGCGCUUUGUGAUACACUUUCAAUGAGUCGAGUUGUUUGGGAAUGCAGCUCAAAUUGGGUGGUAAAUUCCAUCUAAAGCUAAAUAUUGGCGAGAGACCGAUAGCGAACAAGUACCGUGAGGGAAAGAUGAAAAGCACUUUGGAAAGAGAGUUAACAGUACGUGAAAUUGUUGGAAGGGAAACGCUUGAAGUCAGACUUGCUUGCCGGAGCUUGCUUCGGUUUGCAGGCCAGCAUCAGUUUUCCGGGGUGGAUAAUGACGGUUUGAAGGUAGCAGUCUCGGCUGUGUUAUAGCUUUCCGUUGGAUACAUCCUGGGGGACUGAGGAACGCAGCGUGCUUUUUGCG
rnacentral:rRNA from 1 species